UACGUAGGUGGCAAGCGUUGUCCGGAAUUAUUGGGCGUAAAGCGCGCGCAGGCGGUCCUUUAAGUCUGAUGUGAAAGCCCACGGCUCAACCGUGGAGGGUCAUUGGAAACUGGGGACUUGAGUGCAGAAGAGGAAAGCGGAAUUCCACGUGUAGCGGUGAAAUGCGUAGAGAUGUGGAGGAACACCAGUGGCGAAGGCGGCUUCUGGUCUGUAACUGACGCUGAGGCGCGAAAGCGUGGGAGCAAACAGG
rnacentral:rRNA from 1 species